GACGAACGCUGGCGGCGUGCCUAAUACAUGCAAGUAGAACGCUGAAGGAGGAGCUUGCUUCUCUGGAUGAGUUGCGAACGGGUGAGUAACGCGUAGGUAACCUGCCUGGUAGCGGGGGAUAUCUAUUGGAAACGAUAGCUAAUACCGCAUAAUAGUAGAUGUCGCAUGACAUUUGCUUAAAAGGUGCAAUUGCAUCACUACCAGAUGGACCUGCGUUGUAUUAGCUAGUUGGUGAGGUAACGGCUCACCAAGGCAACGAUACAUAGCCGACCUGAGAGGGUGAUCGGCCACACUGGGACUGAGACACGGCCCAGACUCCUACGGGAGGCAGCAGUAGGGAAUCUUCGGCAAUGGACGGAAGUCUGACCGAGCAACGCCGCGUGAGUGAAGAAGGGUUUCGGAUCGUAAAGCUCUGUUGUAAGAGAAGAACGAGUGUGAGAGUGGAAAGUUCACACUGUGACGGUAUCUUACCAGAAAGGGACGGCUAACUACGUG
rnacentral:rRNA from 1 species